rnacentral:rRNA from 1 species
GUAGUAGUUAUGAUCUUGAAACUUAAAAAAUUUGGCGGUAUUUUAGUCUUUUCAGAGGAAUUUGUCCUAUAAUUGAUAAUCCCCGUUGGACCUUACUUAAAUUUGUUUAACAGUUUAUAUACCGUCGUUAUCAGAAUAUUUUAAAAGAAUAAUAAUUUUCUGAAAUUUUUUUUAAAAAUUUAUUUCAGAUCAAGGUGUAGCUUAUAUUUAAGAAGAGAUGAAUUACAAUAAAUUUAUUUAUAUGGAAAUAAAAAUGAAAAUUUUAUUGAAGGUGGAUUUGAUAGUAAAUUUAAAAAGUA